UACAGAGGUCCCAAGCGUUGUUCGGAUUCAUUGGGCGUAAAGGGUGCGUAGGCGGCGCGGUAAGUCGGGUGUGAAAUCUCGGGGCUUAACUCCGAAACUGCAUUCGAUACUGCCGUGCUUGAGGACUGGAGAGGAGAUUGGAAUUUACGGUGUAGCGGUGAAAUGCGUAGAUAUCGUAAGGAAGACCAGUGGCGAAGGCGGGUCUCUGGACAGUUCCUGACGCUGAGGCACGAAGGCCAGGGGAGCAAACGGG
rnacentral:rRNA from 1 species